rnacentral:rRNA from 1 species
ACUCCUACGGGAGGCAGCAGUGGGGAAUAUUGCACAAUGGGCGCAAGCCUGAUGCAGCCAUGCCGCGUGUAUGAAGAAGGCCUUCGGGUUGUAAAGUACUUUCAGCAGUGAGGAAGGUGGAUGCGUUAAUAGCGUAUUCAUUUGACGUAGCUGCAGAAAGAAGCACCGGCUAACUCCGUGCCAGCAGCCGCGGUAAUACGGAGGGUGCGAGCGUUAAUCGGAAUUACUGGGCGUAAAGCGCAUGCAGGUGGUUUGUUAAGUCAGAUGUGAAAGCCCGGGGCUCAACCUCGGAAUAGCAUUUGAAACUGGCAGACUAGAGUACUNUAGAGGGGGGUAGAAUUUCAGGUGUAGCGGUGAAAUGCGUAGAGAUCUGAAGGAAUACCGGUGGCGAAGGCGGCCCCCCUGGACAGAUACUGACACUCAGAUGCGAAAGCGUGGGGAGCAAACAGGAUUAGAUACCCUGGUAGCUACG